rnacentral:rRNA from 1 species
CUUUAGGUGUCCUAGAGGUGUAGAAGCCUCUAAGGGUAGGUCUGUUCGCCCUUUAAAAUCUAACAUGAGCUGAGUUCAGAACGGCGUGAGCUAGUUCAGUUUCUAUCCUCUUUUAAAAAUAAGCUAAUUUUGUACGAAAGGACUUUUUCGCUAAAGUAAUGCUUUGGCCCAGCCCUAUAAUUACACAAAUAUUGGUACAUGACGAGCUGAUCAACUCAUAAAAAGGGCUG